UAUAUAAGUAUUUUAUAAAUAUUUCACACUUGGAUAUUUUUGCGUUGUUUAAAUACUAUUCAUUUACGUAAACCUAAUCAAACGAUAAUGUGGAAAGCUGUGAUUUUGAUACUUUGUGUAAUUUAUUGCACACAUGGUGCACCUGGAUGUCCAGUUUGUUACCGAGGUCGGAGAGAAUCAGGUUGUCCCGUGUGUAUCUGGAUCUGGCACAAUUGUGACAUCGAUGUGGACUGUACAGGAGGUCGACUUUGUUGUUUAAAUCCAAAUUGUGGUAGAUCGUGUCAAAUACCAGGUUAAUGGACGCAGAUGAUCAAAAAGAUAUUUCCGAAUCUAGUGUAAUUUUCAUUUCCAAUGUGGUGAAAACAAACUUUUAAGGGCGGGAAAAUUUAUUAUUUACCACUAAUUUUGUAUUUGAACUUGACGAUAUAAAUCUUGAAUAAAAGUGUAAACAAAAAGCGGGGCAACAUUUUAACUAAGUUACAUGUUUUCCAUAUUAAUGGAACGCGCAACAAUUAAAAAAGGGAGACAGGAUGAAAUAAAUACUAGUAUAUAAAAGUU